rnacentral:lncRNA from 1 species
GAGAGGGUUGAGCAAUUAGGAAACAACAGAGAGCUCAGAGUCCACAAAACAAGCUAAGGGAUGCUUGGGAUAUUUGUACAUACAUGUGCCUUCUGCAUGAGGUCACAUAUAGACACCCUCCAGGCUGGGUGGGCUGCAGGCCCUUGGGAAGCUGAAACAGAGGCUGGCAGUGGUGAUCAUGGGCUUCAUGCAUAUCAACUUUUUUGAGUAUAAAGGAAAGAGAAAGAAAUUAAUUCAUCUCUCACAGUGAAGCUCAGGCCCAUCCUGCACAGUUCUUCCCUUCUGAAUGUAAAUGUGAUCCACGAUACCGCCCAGGAGUGGGGAGACUGGGAGCAACCAAGUUUGAACCACAGAGUGUUACCCGUCCCCAUUCAACAGAUGGCAUCUACACGAUGGCCUGAGAGGACUUAGUUGCACGGGUCCAUUUGGAGACAGCACCUGCCCCUCUGAGCUUUUUCAGCUACAAAGGAAGCUGGCUGUAGACCAGCAGCUGGAACGAACGGAGCUGGAGACUAGGCUGGAAGACACUGAACGAGAGUGAAGUUGACCAGUUAAAGUUAAGCCCUUUCACCUGCUAGCACUGAAGCUCUGCUCACUGGUGCCACCGGAAGUUCAGAUGAGCCUCUGGAACAUUUAAAUAGAUACACUGGUUUCCUUGGAUUUCAUUCAUUUCUUUUUUUCUUUCUUUUGUUUGUUUGUUUAUUGCUGGUUUGGUUUGGUUUGGUUUGGUUUGGUUUGGUUUGGUUUGGUUUGGCUUGAGACAGAAUUUCUCUGUGUGAUUUUUGGGUGUCUUGGAAUUCCCAGAGAUCUGCCUGCUUCUGCCUUCUGGAAUUAAAGGCCUUCCCCCCCCACCCCCCAC